UGAUAGUACCUUACUACUUGGAUAACCGUGGUAAUUCUAGAGCUAAUACAUGCUGAAAACCCCAACUUCGGGAGGGGUGUAUUUAUUAGAUAAAAAACCAACGCCCUUCGGGGCUUCUUGGUGAUUCAUGAUAACUUCACGGAUCGCAUGGCCUUGCGCCGGCGACGGUUCAUUCAAAUUUCUGCCCUAUCAACUUUCGAUGGUAAGGUAUUGGCUUACCAUGGUUUCAACGGGUAACGGGGAAUUAGGGUUCGAUUCCGGAGAGGGAGCCUGAGAAACGGCUACCACAUCCAAGGAAGGCAGCAGGCGCGCAAAUUACCCAAUCCCGACACGGGGAGGUAGUGACAAUAAAUACUGAUACAGGGCUCUUUUGGGUCUUGUAAUUGGAAUGAGUACAAUUUAAACCUCUUAACGAGGAACAAUUGGAGGGCAAGUCUGGUGCCAGCAGCCGCGGUAAUUCCAGCUCCAAUAGCGUAUAUUAAAGUUGUUGCAGUUAAAAAGCUCGUAGUUGAAACUUGGGCCUGGCUGGCAGGUCCGCCUCACCGCGUGUACUUGUCCGGCCGGGCCUUUCCUUCUGGAGAACCUCAUGCCCUUCACUGGGUGUGUUGG
rnacentral:rRNA from 1 species